rnacentral:rRNA from 1 species
GAUGAACGCUGGCGGCGUGCCUAAUACAUGCAAGUCGAACGCAUAGCGAAAGGUGCUUGCACCUUUCAAGUGAGUGGCGAACGGGUGAGUAACACGUGGACAACCUGCCUCAAGGCUGGGGAUAACAUUUGGAAACAGAUGCUAAUACCGAAUAAAACUUAGUGUCGCAUGACCCAAAGUUAAAAGGCGCUUCGGCGUCACCUAGAGAUGGAUCCGCGGUGCAUUAGUUAGUUGGUGGGGUAAAGGCCUACCAAGACAAUGAUGCAUAGCCGAGUUGAGAGACUGAUCGGCCACAUUGGGACUGAGACACGGCCCAAACUCCUACGGGAGGCUGCAGUAGGGAAUCUUCCACAAUGGGCGAAAGCCUGAUGGAGCAUCGCCGCGUGUGUGAUGAAGGCUUUCGGGUCGUAAAGCACUGUUGUAUGGGAAGAACAGCUAGAAUAGGAAAUGAUUUUAGUUUGACGGUACCAUACCAGAAAGGGGCGGCUAAAUACGUG